rnacentral:rRNA from 1 species
CAGGCUUAACACAUGCAAGUCGAGGGGCAGCACAGGUAGCAAUACCGGGUGGCGACCGGCGCACGGGUGAGUAACGCGUAUGCAACUUACCUAUCAGAGGGGGAUAACCCGGCGAAAGUCGGACUAAUACCGCAUGAAGCAGGGGCCCCGCAUGGGGAUAUUUGCUAAAGAUUCAUCGCUGAUAGAUAGGCAUGCGUUCCAUUAGGCAGUUGGCGGGGUAACGGCCCACCAAACCGACGAUGGAUAGGGGUUCUGAGAGGAAGGUCCCCCACAUUGGUACUGAGACACGGACCAAACUCCUACGGGAGGCAGCAGUGAGGAAUAUUGGUCAAUGGCCGAGAGGCUGAACCAGCCAAGUCGCGUGAGGGAUGAAGGUUCUAUGGAUCGUAAACCUCUUUUAUAAGGGAAUAAAGUGCGGGACGUGUCCCGUUUUGUAUGUACCUUAUGAAUAAGGAUCGGCUAACUCCGUGCCAGCAGCCGCGGUAAUACGGAGGAUCCGAGCGUUAUCCGGAUUUAUUGGGUUUAAAGGGUGCGUAGGCGGCCUUUUAAGUCAGCGGUGAAAGUCUGUGGCUCAACCAUAGAAUUGCCGUUGAAACUGGGGGGCUUGAGUAUGUUUGAGGCAGGCGGAAUGCGUGGUGUAGCGGUGAAAUGCAUAGAUAUCACGCAGAACCCCGAUUGCGAAGGCAGCCUGCCAAGCCAUGACUGACGCUGAUGCACGAAAGCGUGGGGAUCAAACAGGAUUAGAUACCCUGGUAGUCCACGCAGUAAACGAUGAUCACUAGCUGUUUGCGAUACACUGUAAGCGGCACAGCGAAAGCGUUAAGUGAUCCACCUGGGGAGUACGCCGGCAACGGUGAAACUCAAAGGAAUUGACGGGGGCCCGCACAAGCGGAGGAACAUGUGGUUUAAUUCGAUGAUACGCGAGGAACCUUACCCGGGUUUGAACGCAUUCGGACCGAGGUGGAAACACCUUUUCUAGCAAUAGCCGUUUGCGAGGUGCUGCAUGGUUGUCGUCAGCUCGUGCCGUGAGGUGUCGGCUUAAGUGCCAUAACGAGCGCAACCCUUGCCACUAGUUACUAACAGGUAAAGCUGAGGACUCUGGUGGGACUGCCAGCGUAAGCUGCGAGGAAGGCGGGGAUGACGUCAAAUCAGCACGGCCCUUACAUCCGGGGCGACACACGUGUUACAAUGGCGUGGACAAAGGGAGGCCACCUGGUGACAGGGAGCGAAUCCCCAAACCACGUCUCAGUUCGGAUCGGAGUCUGCAACCCGACUCCGUGAAGCUGGAUUCGCUAGUAAUCGCGCAUCAGCCAUGGCGCGGUGAAUACGUUCCCGGGCCUUGUACACACCGCCCGUCAAGCCAUGGGAGCCGGGGGUACCUGAAGUCCGUAACCGAAAGGAUCGGCCUAGGGUAAAACUGGUGACUG